rnacentral:rRNA from 1 species
UACGAGGGGAGCUAGCGUUGUUCGGAAUUACUGGGCGUAAAGGGCGUGUAGGCGGUACCAUAAGUCAGAUGUGAAAGACCCAGGCUUAACCUGGGAGGUGCAUUUGAUACUGUGGAACUAGAGAUCGGGAGAGGAAAGUGGAAUUACGAGUGUAGAGGUGAAAUUCGUAGAUAUUCGUAAGAACACCAGUGGCGAAGGCGGCUUUCUGGCCCGAUACUGACGCUAAGGCGCGAAAGCGUGGGGAGCAAACAGG